rnacentral:sRNA from 1 species
AAAUGUUGCUAUACAAACUUUGGAAAUC